rnacentral:lncRNA from 1 species
GUUUCCCUUAAUGCUAAGUAGGGAUACCGGUGGGAAGAAAUAAGGUCACCCUCAGGGAAUUUCUAGAUGAAUCAGGCUCCACUAAGCCUUGAAAUCAAAAUGCUUUUGGUGUAAAUGGUGUGCAGAUGGAUAAUCAAGCCAGUGUGGGACUAGGCAUGAUUUAGAGCAACUGUAACUGAUAUGACAGAUCCUAGCAGGCAACUUCAUGAGAGCCUGGAUUUUAGAUACAGUGCAAAUAGGUGAAACGAAUAAUUGCAUUUUUGACUUUUGAAAUUCUUACACCUUGCCAGUAGUAUUACAGCCAUAAUUUGGGCCAUGGACAUACCAUAGAGGUUUUGAUUUGAGACUCUAGACUUAUUAGGGGCAAGCAAUCUUCAAUGUACCAUUUAAGCAUAAGAAUUUAGGUUUUAAUUUGAGGGUAAGACCAAUCUUUGACAUUAUAUGAAAUAUAAAUUUUUAACUUUGUUAUAAUUAUAAUAGUCUAUGUCUAACAUUUGUAUUAUCUUGGGCAAACAUUGAAAUUCCUGAUUAAUAUUUAACUAUAGGAAGUAUACCCGGUUCACAUGAAGACUCAGUUUCAGGGGUUAGGCUGAGGUGUCUUGAUAAUCAGAGUUCGUACUCCAAGGAGAAGCCCCCAAGACCAACAGUAUUGGAUACAAUUGAAAGAGGAAGUGCUCCUCAACCUCCAGAGAAUGUGGACCGGAUAUAAGAUCUUAAUCUUUUCUUAUCUGACUACAGAAAUAUGGAUGGAAAAUCAUCAUUUAUCUCAAAGAGAAGUGAACCUUGGAGACUAUUUCACUAGGAAUCACACCAUUUUGGAAGGUACUCGAUUCAAAAGAGCCAUUUUCCAAGGGCAGUACUGUAGAACUUUUGGUUGUUGUGAAGACAGAGAUGAUGGCUGUGUUACUGAGUUCUAUGAAGCAAAUGCAUUGUGUUACUGUGAUAAAUUCUGUGAAAGGGAAAAUUCUGAUUGCUGUCCUGAUUACAAGUCCUUUUGCCAGGAAGAGAAAGAAUGGCCUCCUCACACACAGCCUUGGUACGCAGAAGGUAGGUUUUGGGGAUGUGAUUACGCAUUGUCUUAGUGCAUGACAAGAUUUGACAAUCUUUUCUUUCUUCCUUUCCUUUUUUUCCCCCUUUCUCUCCCCUCCUUCCCUCUUACCCUCCUCUUUCUUUUCCUCCUUCCUUUCCAUUCUUCCCUUUUCUUUCCUUCAAUUAAGUAAACAUAAACAUUAUGAAUGCCAGGAUAUAUUUCUUUGGAUUAUUAAAGUGCUUUGAUUCAGUUGCAGGACAUCUGCAUCAUACUGUCACUUUCAGGAAAGUUCUGGUCCGAGGGUAGUAAGCGCUGAUCUGUCUCCAGUUUUGGUACUCUUCUUUGUUUCUUUCUUUAUAAAAUGUGCUGAUGUUAGAACUCUCAAGCUUUAUUGAGCAUAACCUCCAGGAGACUCUCACAUACCUGAUCAUCCACAGAUUCAUGUAACAUUUUUCUUAUUAUUUCCUGGGCCAAACGGAUCCUUAGCAUUAGAAUCUGUGGUAUUAGAAAUGCUGUCAAAACCAGGAAAAAAUCAAAAUAAAGUCAGUCACUCUCCUUACCUAAGUAAUACCAAGUAAAUUCUUCAUAUGUAUUUUUGUUUUGCCAGUGUGAGGCUUUUUAGAUCAUUAAAAGAAAAGAGAGCUUCAUAUAGAGUAGUGAAUGUAUAAUAUUGAAUGGAUAAGUGCACAUGACCCACAAAGAGAAUAGCGGAAUUUACUAUACUACUCUAAUUAUAUGAGAAUAGCUAGUGAUUUUGAGUAAUUGAUAUAAUUAAGCUCUGGGACAAAAAUACUACGUAUACACUUAGAUCUGAGCCCCUCUCUCUGUCUCUUGUCGUAUCAGAUCUCCUCAGCAGAAGAUUAGGGUUAAUUAGAAUUCUGUCAUACUACUAAGUGGGUGCUCAUGAUGAAAAAGUUUAGUUGGAACAUAACAUAUAUAAAUCAGGGACUUGAUAUCCUUACUUCAAAACCCAGAUCUCAUUUAAAAAUCCAAAUGCAAUUACCUUUAUUUUCAGUAAUGUCAAAUUGAAAAAAAAAACAAAAAACAAAAAACAAAAACUCCUUCUUUAAACCAUAUAUUUGUGCUUAAAAUUUUCCAUAGAGUUGCCUUUGUCUUAGGCUUUGCAUUUUAUCAAUAGAUAGCAGCUCAGCAAACAUUUAUUUCAUCCUAUGAAGAGGCAGAUACUCCACUAAGAAUGGGAGAACUAGUCCUUCAUCAACAAUUAUUCAUUCAGUAUCUGUGCUGUGGUAGGCAAUGUUCUUGGUGCUGGUGACACCAAGCAGGAAAUAAUAAUAAUGAAAAGAGACAAAAAUCUUAGUCUCAUGGAAGUCACAGUCAAGUUGGGGGGCAUGUGUAAGAUAUUUAUUAAAUUUGCUGUACAAUUGCCAGUUGUGAUAAAUUCCCUGAAGAAAAUAUUUAGGGUGUUCUGAGAAGGUAUAACACAAUAUAACAUUAAGAUGUAACAUAAUGUAUAACAUUUACCUGAUUGGGGUGUCACCAAGGGAAAACAUUUAAGCUGAUAGGUGAGGAACAGAAAUGUGGUGAACAGGAAAACAGUUGAUAAGAGUGUUGCAGAUCUGAGAGAGAGGAACUUCUCAUGGUCUUAGAACUGGACAACAUCCAUUGUUUCCAGAGAGUGAUGAAGAGGAGAAGUGAACCCAGAUGAGGUUUGAGAAGUGAGAAGAGGUCAUACUGUGACAGGACUUUCUGACCAUGUUAGGGAUUAGAGGUUUUAUUUGGUUGUGACAAAUCUUUGAAAGAUGUUAAGCCAGAAUAGGGUUGCCUUCUUAGAUGUAUAACAUGCAAUCACAAAAGCCCCCUGUGCUCACAGGCAUCCCAUGCUGGGUCUAAUGCUCUGAAGUUACCAUCUUAAAAUUCUUAAUAAUUUUUGGACAAGAGUCCAAAUUUUAGUUUUUACUUGUCCCCACAAAUUACAUCUAUAUUAUAUUUUGAGCGAUAUUGUUGAGGAGGAGAAAAUAAAGUGGUGUGGACUAGUUUUGUAGCAAUUAUAGACUCAGAUGGCACUAAAGUGGAAGCUUCAUAAGUUGUAGUCUUUCUCUAGAGACCUUACUAAAGUUAAAGACACUUCGAAGGGAUUGCUACGGGAGCAAAGUUCUGAAGCCAAUGAGACCCAGGACAUUAGAACUGAGUCAUGAAGCAUGAGUGCAUGCCAGCUAGGGACUAGAGUGAGGGGAGAUAGGUUUAAGAAUGUAGUAGGUGCAGCAUAAGUUUAUAAGAAACUGCAGAGUCAGUCAUUAGGUAGGAAAAUAAAAGAAGUUAAGAAGGAUUCAAUAAGAAUAUUCUUAAAUGCCAACACUAGUGGUUGUGCAAGAGGUCUCACGUGGCAUUCCAGUUGAAAGAUGUAGUUUGUUUGACCCACACAGACAGUAUUAAAACAAAAUUAAAGGUAUUAUAUAAGGCUGAUGCUUUAUACUCUCUGGACUAGAAAGUUGAGUUAGCUAAACCUUAUUAGGGCACAGUAUCAUCUUUGGUCCAUGAAGCUUUAUGUCUUAUUUGUGGAUGGAUUUCUUUUCUUCCCCCAACCCCCUCCUUUUCUAACUUCUUCUCUGUCUUUCUUCACUUCUUCCCCCACCCCACCCCACCCCCAUUUUUAUUUUUAUGUCUAUGACUCAUUCCCAUCUUCCUCCACAACCAAUUUGCCCUUCUUUGGCUUUUAUGUGCACUUUUAUUUUGUGUGCUUGAAUUAAUAAUUCAUAUAAUCUCUAUUAUGUUAGAGACUAAAUUCUACUCCUGGCUUUUUCCAGCCAGCACCCUUUUGAGGGAGCUCUCUGUUUCCAAAAUGUAUACCUAGUCUGUUGCUUUUGGCUGAUGCCUAGUUUUCUGUGAUGUUCCUCCCUGUCAUUUACCAACCUGCUUUUUUCAUGAUGGAUGAGCAACUCAAUUACCUACAGCUCUCUGGUACCAUAAAGAAGUCCAUGAUGGACGACUUCAUACAUGUCUUCUUAUGGAUCUGUGUGCCAAAGAUAACACUGGGAUUUCUGGGCUUGGGAUAUAUAUUCCUUUAAUCUAAGUCCUGCUGCAUGGCUCUCAGGAGUGGCUGCAUCAGUCCAAACUCCCCCGGGACUAUAAGGCCUUGUCUACCCCACAUCUUUAGUACUUGGCACCAUCUGGCUUUGUAAUCUUUAUUUCUAUGAUCAGGAAACCUUGAUUUCUCAUUGCUAUUUUAAUGUGCAUUUCUCUGAUUACUAAUAGAUUUGAACUUCUCAGUCUCAUAAAUACUGGCAUUUCAUCUUGAGCCAUGCACAGACAGAAAUAUAUCUUAAUAUUUAGCAGAGCAAAUCUACUUAUUUGCACCUUGUUAUAGGGUGACUUAGGGCAUGUAGACAUUUAAUCUUGCAUAAACACUUUUUACUCUCUUUUCUUUUCUGCUUCUGGAGAUUGAAUCCAGGAUCCUGCACAUACUGGAUACACACUAUACCACUGAGCUACAUCCUCAGACAUAUUUAUUUAUUUAUAUUUGUUCUUUUCAGUUAUACAUUACAGUAGACUCUAUUUUGACAUAUUUGUGCAAAUAUGGAGUAUAUCAUAUUCUAAUUAGGACAGAGUCUCAGUUAUAGCUUCAAACUUGUGAUCCACCUGUGUCAGCCUCCCAAGUAGCUGGAAUUAUAGGUAUUCAUACAGAGCUUGGCUCCAUAUAUAGUUGUGUGUUUUUUAAAGAGUUUAUCUAGUUCCUCAAAACUUAAGCUAAAUUUUGAGCAAUAUUUCAUAAAUUUAUAAUUUUACUUAAAUUUAUCUUAAUUUCUGCAUAAAAGCAUAAAAAUGUAUUAAUGGGGUGACAUGAUGUUUUCAUGCAUGCAUAUAUUGUAGAAUGCUUAAAUCAAGUUAAACAUAUUUAUCUCCUCAAAUAUUUAUCAUUUGUUUUUGGCAAAAGCUUUCAACAUGCUUUCUUCGACCUUUUUGCAAUCCACAUUCUCUAUGGACAUUCUGUGUUGCAACAUUGAAAUUCUUGCUCCUAUCUAAGUGAAACUUAGUGCCCAUUGAUCAACUUUUUCUCAUUCUCCACCCCCCUCUAUUCUCUGAAACUUCUGGUAAGCACAAGAAUUUAAAACUUUAUUUGAAGACAACUGAACUCUAUCAUUUUAGUCUUAAAAAUACAUCUCUUCCAAGAGCGUAGAAUAUCUCUUCCCUUAUUCUUGUCAUUAAAAUGUCUUUAAAUGGAAUUAAAUUAUUUUUCUCCUUAGUGGCCUUAACUGUUCCAUUAGUUUUGGAUCAUUUUAAGAUUUGUUUUGAAUUAUAUAGUUUAACAAAUAUAUAUUAUAUAUUGGUUAUUGCUAUUGUAGAUAAAUGCCACUUAUUCAUGAAAGGUCAUAUACUAUCUGGAAACCUUUCUCAAUUCUCUUAUUAGAAAUAUUAAUACAUUUCAUUGUCACAGUUCAUAUUUUCAUAUCAAAAUCCUAAAAUAAACAGUAUGCAUAAUGACAAGUUUGCUUAUGUGUUUCCUUUAAAAUUAAGAACAAAAUAUGGAUGUUAACUAUCUUUGCUACUGUUUAACAAGAAGGUCCUUGUUAAUUCUUUAAGAAAAAAAUGAUAUGAUAUAAUCUGAAGGAAAGAGAUAAAAUCUCAUUAUUGAUUCACAGAUACAUGGAAAAUAGAACAACAGAAAAUAGCAUAAUAUGUGUUAGAAGCAUUUAAAAUUCAGGAGUUUUCAUUUUAAAAAUCCAAAUUUCUAGUCCCUUUUGAAAUGUUGCUAGAUGUGACAAUUAUGGACCCAUUGUCAUGCAUGACAGCCAUCAGUUGGAGAUGAGUUGUUGAUGUCACUUUUGGUAACACAUAUUCUUUCCAUUUGGCUAUUUACCCACCAUUUGCUAUUCCUUUCCUGGCCCACUUCUCUCAUUUUCUGCCAAUAUCAAUAUAUCUAUGAUUUCUUUCUUUUUUUAUUUAUAUAUGACAGAAAAAUGCAUUAAAAUUCUUAUUACACAUAUAGAACACAAUUUUUCAUAUCUUUGGUUGUAUACAAAGUAUAUUCACAUCAAUUUGUGUUUUCAUACUUUGGAUAAUAAUGAUCCUUAUGUUCCACCAUCAUUAAUUACCCCAUGCCUCUCCCUUCCCCUCGAACCCCUCUGCCCUAGCUAGAGUUUGUCUAUUCCUCUCCUGCUUCCUCUUCAUAUAUAUAAAUAUAAAUAUAAAUCAGCUUCUUUAUAUCAAGGAAAACAUUCGUAUAUCUGUAAUUUCUGUCAGUAGAGUCUUCACUGUUAUUCACUACCCAGCUUACACAAAUGUACAUGAAAACCCUAGGUCACUACUAUUGUAUGUAUUUUGGGUUUAAAGAGAGUGAUAACUUUGAGUAAUGCUCAUGUAUGUUUGUUGAAUUUAUGUAUUUUAUCACAUUGGUAUAAUCAUUGAAAUAAUUGGUGAACUUAAAUAAUACUGUUGUAUGCUAAUAAUGUGAUAUUACAUGGCACUGUGUUCCGUAUGUAUGUAUUUCCAUGUCUUAUCAUCAUGUUAUUACUUGGGGAUCAUAUUCUUAUGUAAGAAUGAUUUCUAUUAGUGACAGAAUCAGGUUCUUUGAUCAAGGUAAAUUCACCUCUUAGAUCACCUUCCAAAUAGUAGACAAUUAACAGGUGUCUCUUUACCACACCUAAGUAGCAUGUUUUUUAUUUUUUUUAUCACCUUACUGAACCUACUAUUCAUCUUCCUAACUUAAAAUUUAUUGAGCACUUAUUAUGGAUCCAACAACUAUUUCAAGCACCCUUCUGGUGCCUUCAUUCAUUAUUUUAUUCUAUUUUUUGAAAAGGAUUAGUUAUUUUAUAUCAACUAUAUAGAAAGCUGAUUAGAGGGGAAGUACGAUGAUUUAAUUAUUGUGCACUAGUUACAGUGCCAUGAGAUGGGAGAAUUUUAGUAAACAUUGGUUGAUUUGGAUUGAAAUGAUAUCUAGAGUAUUUUCAUUUUCUGAAGUUCAGUGUUUGCUAAGUUAAUAAAUAGAUUAUUUAUAAAUAAUAAAUAAAUAAAUAAUUUAUUUCUAUGUAAUUUUAAAAAAUAUUUUCAAAAGUAUGAUUUUUUUCAUACAAGAGGUAAGUGUUAAAAUAUAUUUGUAAAGUAUUAUUUACCCAUUGUUUCAGUGGUCAAUUCUUACCUUCAUUUGAAAUUUGGCACCUUUACAAGAAUAAUUUAUAUUUAAAUUAGUUAUGCAUCUAUCAUUGAAUUAAGCAUUGGGGGGUGAUAAGAGAAGAGUAUUAUAAAGCCUGGGAUUUUGAGAAACAUAUUCCUUAUGUGGGUAAAAAGAUUUAGGUAUGUGAAACAAUUAGAUAUCAUUGAAAUUUAGUAACAAUCAAAUGCCCCAUUUGUGUUCAUUGUGGAUGAUAAUAUAAUCCAACAAUCUCCCCUGGGAAGUAGAGUAUAUAAAAAUAGUUAGUACUUACUCAAUAAAUACCAUGUACUAGAGAAGAUUAUAUCAGAUUGCUGACAACAUUAAUUAACAUACGUAUUUUAACACAUGAGGUUGUUUUAGUCUGGACUUUUCAUGUCAUUGAAGCACCAGGCUCCAUUGAGCUUUCUUUUCCCACACAGCACCACAACAUGGCCCCCAUGUUGUGUGGUUCCUUGUACUCCAUACAUCACAGUUAAGUCCCAGUAGAUGAAAUUGAGAAGGAGGGUGUGGUCCCCACAUCACAAGGAGUAUUCUAGAGCACGGAAGAACACCUCCAUUCCUGUCUCUUUUGCCAGAACGCAGUGACAUGGCCAUGCUAACCAUCAAGAGAGGCUGGAUACCAAACCUCGUUUUAUUUUGUUGUGUGGCAAUGUGCCUCCCUAAAAUGGGGUUCUGCUACAGGAUUAAAAAUAAUGAAGAAUGAUAAUGAGAACAACCACAGCAGGCUCUGCGCCAAUUUAAGAAUGUGUAGUUCUCUGAAAACAAUGGCUAUCUAAAUGAUUGCAUUUUGACUUAAACAAUUAUUUCAAUUUUUAAUAUCUUUUUUUUCCCCUUUGAGCUGGUAUUCUCACUAUGUGGCUCAGGCCAGACUGGAGCUCUUGAGCUCAAGUGAUCCUCCUACCUCAGCCUCCUAAGUAGCUACCACACCUGGCUUCAAUCUGGAGUCUUGGCAUCAUUGUACAAGCUGUAGUGCUUUUGAUGUACUAAAAUAUAUUUAAGCCUUUCUUAUUUAAAGCAUAUGGUCCAUUCAGAAGAGCAGUUAGCACUUCUUCAACAUCCAAUUUUGCUUAAGAGCUAGAAUUUUGUGAAGAUUGCAAUUUAGGUUCAUAUUUUAGGUAGAACUUAUGUACCAGGUAAAGCUCUUACUCCAUUCAUUACAGAGGUAAGCAAUUAAUCAUUUUAUUUAGUGGUAAAAAGUUCACAUGAGACUAUAAUUGACUCUCAUGAAGGUAAUUUUUCCUUUUGUUUUAUCAUGCUUUGAGAAGUAAUUAGUUGAAAAGAAAAAGAGUACUACACAAAACUGAAAGAAAAGUGCAAAAUUAAAAUAAAAGACAGUAGUAUAUUAUUUAUACAGUUUUUUCUGCAAUUUAUGAAGAACUAUUCUCUGAGAUGCUAUGUUGAUCAUUUAUAAUCUAUUAGAGAUUAUUUUCAGUGAUUUCCUUAGGUACUACUUUCUAAUUAUUUUUCUUAUGCCUUCCCUAAGAACUCUUUAAGUCAACAAGUUCAAACUAUACAUUUUCUUAAGAAUUAAAAAAUAAAUGUAUCAAUUCUCCACAACUGAAAGUAGAACAAACAUAUCAAUAAAUAUCUUACUUCUGUGUUUGUCGCCCAUAUCUGAUGGUAGUUUCCAGUAAUUGAAUAUUCAAAUACCAGAUACAUAAAACCUGUGAUAGAAUUUAAAACAGAGACAGAGGAGACAUUCUAGGCAUAACCUUUUGGAGUAGCAGAUCUUAAGAAAAUAGCUCAUGUACCAUCUGUCACCAACAGACCUAAGCUAAUUUGAUAAUGUGCAGUUCUGUGUUUGUGUAGGUGAUAAAAAGUAUGUAAGCCAGUGACACAUUUGAUUCACUCCUUUGCAACAUCCUUAAGCAUAUUAUAAUGAAGAUAAAUCACAGUUCAAAUUCUGCUACACAUAUUGACCAUUGCAAAAAUACACUUUGGUAAAGAGAAAUAUCUAAUUCAUAGAUCCUCUGUAAGCUCCAUGAAAACUCCACUUUUUCUCCUUUUAGGUGUUCCCACAUCUAUAUUGCAUGAAAAAAAUUUCUUGGAGAUACCUGUAAUAUUAUGACAGAGAUAGGACUGUUACCUCAUGGUGGGUAUCAGGGAAGGAGAAAUUCUUCUUCUCAGUGGCUGACACAGGACACUGCACAAAGAUCAGUCCAUAGGCACCAGGACUAAAGGUUCAAGACUUUGACCUUAACAUAUAUAUAUAUAUAUAUAUAUAUAUAUAUAUAUAUAUAUAUAUAUAUAUACUGUGUGCACAAAGAUGGACUAUGAUAUAAUCAUUUAACUAAUCCAUAUAAAUGAAUAUUAUCCAUUUAACCAAUGAGAGCCGAUUACUUAACAACUGUUAUGCUGAUUAACAAGCCCACUGAUGUUUGCCAAUGAGAGCCCAUUUCUGACAUUCAUUAACUAACUCUAGUGCUGAUGAAAAUAAGGAUAAUGGAAACUCUUGCAGCAGCUACCCUGAAGGCUGGCCUUUCAGAAUGAAUGCCACUGACCGCCCGUGGGGUGUGCACUUCUAAUUAGGGCAAGUGACUGCUUCCCUACAGUACAGUUUAGACCAGCAAAGAUAAUUAUAACAUACUCUGAUGAAGUAUUUCAAAAUACAUUGUACCACCAUGUUAUCAUCUUUCCUCAAACCUACAAGACCAACGAACUCUCCAAAUAUUAAUUUACCUAAUUUUGUCUUAAAGGCUUUUAAAGUUGCAAAACUCCGUCAGUUUCAAUAGUCAUUAGUUUAAUAUUUUGUUUCACUUUUCAGUCAAGAUGCUAUGUGUGCAAUCAAUUUGACUAACUCACUCUGAAGAUGCUUCAUAUAUAUUUUACUGAAAAAAAUAAAUCUAUCAGACUGGAAUUCUCUCUACCCACCAUUGUAGUUUUCAACUUACCUCCAUCCAUCCGGGUUGCUGUUUAUAGUCAACUGAUCUCCCCUCUUGGGCUCUGAAUCCCAUCUUCUCUUGUCUUCUCAAGUUCAUCACUUAUAAUUCUCCCUAUGUCUCUCUCUCUCUCUCUCUCUCUCUCUCUCUCUCUCUCUCUCACACACACACACACACACACACACACAAUUUCCUUUCUACAUACACUUUUUUUCCCUUUUAUUCUGGCCAUCCCAUUUCCCAUUUCCUUCAGCCCUUUAAUGGGAAUAUCUGAAAGUUUGCUUCUUUACUUCAUAGCCUCUUAAGAACUUAUUCCUAGAGCAUGUCACUCUCAGUUACUCUACUGAAAUUUCUCAGUGAAGUUAUUGACAAAUUACAUAUAAUUUAAUAGUUUCACCAUGAGAAGUUUUGAGGAGAAGACUGUUUCUUGUUCUUGAUGCGUCAACAGUACUGAACAAAUAUGACCAUAUUGCUUGUGUGAAAUACUUCCUUCUCCUGGUUUCCAUGAUACCAUCUUCUCCUGAAUUUGAUACUUGUGCACAGUCUACCUUUUACUGGUUUCUUCUUCUGAGUGUCAGCUACAGUGUUUUGAGCUCAGUCCUAGAGAACCUUUUCUUUCCUGUGUUUACUUCCUCCAAUAGACACUGACUCAGUCCCAGAUUUUAGUAUCCAUCAAGUUCAUGCUCAGUUUUGUCUUACCUUUGUACUUCUAACAACUACUGUCAACUUGACACUUCCAUUAAGAUAUCUAACUUAGAUUUAAUCCAAGUCUAAAAUACCCAAAGUAGAACUCUGGAUUUCCUCCCACAAGACUUCAUUUGUUUCAUCAAUAACUUCACAGUCCUUCUAUUGCUCAAGCCAAAAUCCUAAUGAAGCAUCUCAAUUCGUCUUUUUCCUCAUUCCCCAAGAUCAAUCCAUGAGUGAGUUCCAUUUGCUUUUGCUCCAAAUUAUAUUCAUCAAUUUCUUUUUCUCCUUACUGUUGUCAUGGUGACCCUUCAUUCUUCUAGGAAACCCCAUCCCAGCCAGCACAAUGGGAGUAAAUAGGGCAAAGAUUUAGGGCAGAGAUAUUUUGGGUAAAACCCUACAGGUCAUGGUAAAAUUUAACUUUAUUCUAAAUUUGAUGAGAAACAACUUGAGGAUUUUAAGCAGGAGGUAACAUGAUAUAAACUUUAAAACAUUCUUCUCAGUCUGUGGGGGGAAUGAGAAACACACUGGAAAGGAGUAUAGCAAAGGAUGGAGAGGACUGUGUCUGUAUUGAACAGAAGCCUGUGUCAGCAGUUUGACCAAGGUCAGAGGUAGCUGGUUAUGGAUUUUGUUAGAAAAACCAAAUCUCAGUGAGAGGAAAGUGAAUGUAGUUUCUCAUGGUACUUCUGGCUUAACAUUAAGGAAGGAUGAACAAGAAAUGCUUUGGUUUAUACUAGGUUUAGUGCUAAUGAUGUGGGGCAGACCUCAUGGUGGACUUCUCUUGACUUCCACAUUAUUAGCUAGAGUACAAGUCAGAGAAGGGACAGUCUUCUUCCCUUAUGACUUUUGUAAUUUUGGUUCCUUUUAUCUAUACAACCAGUAUGCCUAAUACUCAAGAUUCAUGAGGUUAUGAUUAAAAAUCUUCUGGUUUUGGCCCCAUUCUCCUUUACAAACAGGGAAGUUCAUCCCUUAGAUUUACACCUAAACUUGGAUUGUUCUAAAAUUCUUUAUUGCUCUUAUGUAGUAAAAACUUCUAGAGUCUCCAUAUACAUGGUGCCAGUUAUUAAAAAUAUCUAAUUUAUUGCUACUGUGUAGCAAUUAAAAUUUUGAACUUGAAUGAAAGCUAAUUCUUCCCCAUAGCCUGAAUUUGCUGCAUUAAGAAAUGUGGUGUCUCUCUCUCCAUGAUUGUGGACUAUCAAACUCCAUGGGAAAGGGCCAAUAGAUGCAAAUAUUAAAGGCUUAGAUUUACUAAGCAGAAUAUUAAAAGGUAAAAUGUAGUAUAAGCUAAGCAGGGAGAAGUUGUGAAAAGUUUCCCAUGAAACAAUUUUUUGAAAAAAAAAAAAAUCAAAGGAGCCAGGAGACAUAGGCUCAGGAUGCUGAGGUGAGAGGAUUGGGAGUUCAAAACCAGCCUCAGAAAAAUCAAGGCACUGGCCUGGGGUUGUAACUCAGUGGCUGAGCACUUGCUUCGCAUGCAUGAGGCACUGGGUUCAAUCCUCAGCACCACAUAAAAAUAUAAAUAAAAUAAAGAUAUUGUGUUCACCUAAUACUAAAUUUUUAAAAUAUUUUUUUAAAAAGCAAGGCACUAGUUAACUCUGUGAAAUCCUGUCUCUAAAAAAAAAAACAAAACAAAACAAAAAAAAAAACAAAAUUGGGGCUAGUGAUGUGACUUGUGGCACAGUUCCCUUGGAGAAUUUCUGAAGUACAUACUUUUCACUAUGAUGUUAUAAAUAAGUCAGGGAUCAUUUAUAUGGUACACAGAUUACAUGUUUUUGUUAAAAACAACUGUUUUUUAAAGUUUCUUUUGCUAAUUCAUCAAAUAAUAUUUUCAAAAAUUAUUUAACUUGUAACUGGGGUACUAGUUUCACAGCAAUUUACUCAUAGUUUUCAUAUUAUGAUGAUUCACCAUAGGUCUCUUGAAUAGUCAAUUCUAUAAAACAGUUAUCAAUUAAUUUCAGUUAAUAUUUAAGAAAUAUUUGGACUUCGAAGACAAAUGGCUACAGUCUUACUGAUUUCAUGAAUUUUUCUCCUGAUCCAAUCCUAAAGAAGAAAAAAGUAGAAUUUAUCUUUGUAAGGUAAAUUCAAUGAAUUUUUUUUUUUUGUAUUUUGGGCCACACUACUAAUUACUUGCUCUAGUCAUAUAUAAUUAAUUAUACUCAAUUAUGAGACUUGAAUAAAUUUUAAAAUAAGUACUAUAAACUGAUUCAAAUAGUUACACUCAAAUAUUUAUAUUGCUUACCUAUUUAAACACAUUAUUUUUGCAGCAUAGUUAGUGAUUAAUUCCUUGUUAAUUGAGUUUUCAUGCUUUAUAAAUCCUCUCUGUUGAACAUAAUAUGCAGUUUAAAGAUAAACAAGGCCAGAAGAAUUUGAUUUAUCAACCUGGACAUGAACAAGAUGUGGAUCAGAUUGGCACUAAAUGCUUUCUCAUGUUUGAAAAACUAACCACAGUCUUACAUUAAUUGUAAUGCUAAUGCACUUUAUCCAGAUUAGAAUUUUAAUUUGUUUACAUGUUACAUUGACAGGUUGCUUCAGAGAUGGUCAACAUUAUGAAGAAGGAUCAGUAAUUAAGGAAAAUUGCAACUCCUGGUAAUGAAUUUAAGUGACACAGAACAGAAUUGUACUGUCUAUGAAUUUUUUUCUUCAAAUAAAAGGAAGAUUUUUUUUUGAAACAAAACAGACAAAAUUAAAUAUGUAUACACAAAGUCAUAUUCCAUAAGACAUCAUAUACUUGUAAAUUUUUAUAGGCCUAUUUAUUGAAUGUUGAAAAUAUAAUCAUGCAUGUAUCUUUUAAUACCUGAGCUUGAUGUUUUGUUUUUGAUAAUGAGCCUUGAUCAUACAGCAGUUUUGCAUUAGGUAUGCAUUCUAACAACAAAAAUUUUAAUAUACUUCAGAUUUUAAUAUACUACAGACAAGCUGUGUUUUUUUAGCAUGACUACAUUAAAAAAAAAAAACAUGCUACUUUAAAAGGCUUAGAUUACAGAGAAAGUUUCUCCAUACAAGGGAAUCAAAUCUAAUUGCCAAAUGAUCCUGUUUUAAAACUUUAGUAACUAUGUUGCCAUAUCAUUUAUUAUUUGCUGAAGCAGAGGUUAAGAGCCCAUUGAGUGGUUGCUAAUACCUGUUUUAUGAUGUAUUUCACCAAUAAUCAAACAGCCAUAUGGUUAACAUUAAUCAUGAAAUUAUGUUUUAUAUCUUUACAAUAUACAACUCUUGAUGUUAAUUCUGAAAUGUACUCUAUAAAGGCCAGGCCACAUUUGUAAUUCUUGUAUCUUUAUAGCACAUGCUCAGGACAGCAGUGGAAAUGUUCCCAGCACAUGUGCCUUGUUCGUCCAGAGUUAAUUGAACAUGUCAAUCAAGGAGACUAUGGGUGAGCCGAAUCUUGCAUUACCACUUUCUUGGCCCUCCUAAUUACUCCUCAGAUCUCAAACAAUUUUUUUUUUACUUACUCCUAAAAAUGGUCAUUAUUCAAAAGAAAGAGUGGGGAAAUUGGGAAUGGAGAUAAAAGGUGUGUACACUUAGAAUGCACAAGGUGAAUAAUAAAUAAUUAAAUUAAAAUUAACACAUAAAAAAGAAUGGUACAAUCUAGUAUUGAAUCAUUUAGGAAAGAGAAGUGUCAUGGUGUGGGUGUGGGGAGUAGAGGAAGUAUUACACUGAAUAAGUAUAUAGGCAAAAUUAGGAUAUUGGCAAUAUUGAUUUAUCACACUCAUCAUUUUCUUUCUGCUGCUGUAUCACCAAGCCAAUCCUGUACUCAGCUAUCCUAGAUAGGAUAUAACCUUCAUAGGAUAGUAUUCUAUCUGGAUGAUACCUCAGAUAACUAGUUAAUUUAGACAGUUUUCCUAAAGUGACUGAUAUUUAGCCAAUUCAUUUAUAGCUCAUUCAAAAGACAGACUGAACCACUUUGCUAGUAAUAUAAAGAUAGGAAUGACUUACACUUAAACAUUGGAAAAAUUGUUUAAUGCUCUCCCAUAGAUUAAAAAUGAGGUGGCUUCACCACUUACAUCGAGAGAAUGAAGAUGUAGGCACCAGCACAACACAGAACUGAGAGAGGGAUAGGCUGGUCAAUACCUGUCUCAAAAUUUCUCCACUGCCAUUGAUCAAAUCUCUAUAUAUCACUAUGUAUCCCUUGAUAGCAUCUUCCACACUCUGUACAAGGCUUCAUAUAAAAAGAUCCAUUGUCCAGCUGCUCUAAAAGUGAAGUCAUUCUGAGAUGUUGUUUUUAAAAAUAGAAAUCUCAUUCUCUUCUACACUUAAAACACUUUGUUUCCCAGCACAAUGGGAACACUGAAGUUCAAUGUGCCCAAAGUAUUUUCGUGGAAGACAAAAUAUAGAAAGUCACUUUUGUUGAUAUUAACAUUUAAAAAAUCAUUCUCAAUUCUUCUCUGUGUUUGUGGUUAAUAUUUUAGGUGAUAACUUGAUUACUGUUAAGUAUUUCUAGGAAAAACCAAUUACGGUUUUCUGUGGCUAGGUGACAUAUAAAUUUUCAAGGAACAUGAUCUUGACAAAUGAAUUGAAAAGGUUCCUAAGAGGAUUUAAAUGCUGGACCUAACUAGCACAUGCUUCCAAGAAACUGUGGUAGAUAAGCCCAGAUUCCCAUUGUUAUAGAGUACACAAGAAUCCAUAGUAGGAAAAAAGUAUAAGUAGGAGCACAGAAGUUGAGAAUUUAUUGGGAAUGUUGCCUUCCUUGGGAGAAGGAACUUUUUUCCCCAUUAUUUGUUUAUUUUGAGCAUGUUUUAGGGUUUUUUUGUUUUGUUUUGUUUUUUUUUUUUUGUUUUGUUUUGUUUUGUUUUUUGUUUGGUACCAGAGAUUGAACUCAGGGGUACUUAACCAAUGAGCCACAUCCCAAGCCCUAUUUUGUAUUUUAGUGAGAGACAAGGUCUCAAUGAUUUCCUUAGUGCCUCAGUUUUGCUGAGCCUAGCUUUGAACUCGCCAUCUUCCUGCCUCAGGCUCCUGAGCCUCUGGGAUUACAGGUAUGUGCCACAGAAACCUGAUAUUUUAGGAAUUUUUUUAAGGUAUGAAAUUUGCAUUUUCUUAGCAAACAUUAAAGAGUACAUGACUUAAAAAAAGUAAAAAGGGAAAGAUAUUUGAGGAAAAGGAAACAUGCACAGACCAAAAAGAAAAAGUUAAAAGAAACAAGAUAUGAAGAAAAGGAAUAAAAGUAAAAUCAUUCACUGGGAAACAAAAGCAGGAAAUUUCUUAUAUUUAAAAGAAAGUUCUAAUUUUCUGCUGUUUGUUGUUCUCUGUUCAGGAAGCUUAAAUUGCUUUUGUGUGAAAAAAAUAUUAUUAUAAUAUAUUAUUCAAUAUUAUAUUUGUUUAUAAGUUAUUAUAAGAUAACUUAUAAACAAAUAUAAACCUUUGCUUUAAAAUAUUUCUUUCCCGAAUCUUGGCAGUAUUUUAGAUUCUAGCCUUUAUUUAUUCCACAUAAUGUCUAUCAGUGCUUAUUUAGUCCCUGCAUUAUUUUUCAAGACAAUCAAUUAACAUUAAUAAAAUGUGUUCAUUUGUGGCAUUGAUGAGGAUGCAAUAAUUUCUGUCUUGGAGCAGUUAAUUUAGCUGAGGCACCAACAUGUCAAGCUUUUGUAAAAGGAUUUGUAAUGAUAGGGCAGAAUGUAGGACCAAAUCAAUGGCACAAAUAAUAAUCUGCAAAUUAGUAGAAUAAAGGGAGACCCACAACUGUUUUUGUUAUUUGCUCAGUGCACAAAACCCUUCUGGAACUUAGCACUUUAAAGCCACAAGCUUUUCAUUUGUUCAUGUCAGUAAUUUGGAAUGGACUCAACUGAGGCUCUUGCUGGUCUCUUCUGGGCUUGCUCAUAUAUCUAUUGACUUCUUUGGGAAUUGAGGCUGAACUCUCAAAGAUGGCCUUACUUCUGUUUUUUGUUUUUGCCUGCUGGUGCUGGUUGCCAUCUGUCUCCAGCUGGCUUGCUUUGUCUUCUUCACAUGAGGGCAUUGUUCCAACAGGGUGUAGAUGGAAUCUGUGCAAGCUCUGUCUUGAAGCUUAAGCUUGACAGCUACACAACAUCAAUUCCAUUGCUUUCUUUGGGCAAAGCAAGUGAGUAGGCCAAUCCACAUCUAAAGGCUAGGCAAGUAGAUUCUCUCUUGAUGGAGAGAGCUACAAAUAAUUUGUGGCCAUUUUGAAUCUGUCAAGUGUCUAAACUUGAUUUUUUUUAACGACUUCAAAAUCUAGUAUAGAGGAUAAUUUGGCCUAGAUUUUGCAUUUGUUUCUCAAAAUCAACAUAUGCCAAACUGCAGGGAUCAACCUUGACCUAUCCUUGGUGACUGUCAUCUGCCUCCAUCUGGUCAACCAAAAUAUUUCAGGUUAGCUCAAUUCCCCCCACCUUUUUUUUUUUUUUUUAAACAUGUCACCACAUCCUACUAAUUCCCAUAUGCAACGUUUCUCCAGGUUCUAUUUUAGUGCAUUUCCUUAUCACAUAUCAUUUGAAACGACAUGGUUGUCUUUCUGAGUUCAGUUUGACUAAAUUCCAGUCUAUUCUUUAUAUUUUCAUAGCUAUCCUUCCAAAAUAAAGCCUUGAUUCUGCCACUUAUGUUCUUGAAAAUCCUUCAUUUCAUUCCUUCUGAAAAACAAUUAUUCUUAGCAUGAAUGACUGUCUAGAUGUAAAGGUUUUUCACUAUCACACCUUUUACACCCUUUCUAGCCCCCCCAUCCCCUCUCAUCAUUUAACUUAUCUGCCAAUCCCUAUGUGCACAAACUAAUUCCAAAUCUUCAUGCUUUGCUCAAGAGUUACCUCUGUUUAGAAUAAAUGUUUGCUUUUCUUCACAUUUGGCCUCCAAACUCAUUCUCAUCCUUCCAGGCUAAGCAUUAAAUUCACUUUCUAUGAAAAUGUGCCAACUCCUUCAGGCAGAGUUAUGUUUGAAUCCUCUGUUCUGAUCACAUUUUGACCUACUGCUAAUGAAGUUGCCAUAUUGAAAUCAUUUCUUUCUUUCUAGUCUUUGUCAGGGUACGAGCACCUGGAGGGUAGAGAAAGUUUUUUCAUUUUUGUGUUUCUGGUAUUUACCAGAUAAGAUGACAGAUAAGUUAAGAAGGUUCUAUAAAAGCUAAAUUGGAUUAAGGAAAAGUGAUAAAGUCCAGUUCAAGGAGAACAAUGCAGGUUAAUAGGGCCUUUCACAGUUUUUUGAAACUAUAUCACAGUAAAACACACAUUUUGUGAUCUAGUAUACAUACACAUAAAGGAACAUAAAACGGUUCUUAAAAAUAGGUUCGUAAAGUAGGGUUCCUCCCUUUUUGUGGGGGGCACUGGGGAUUGAACUCAGGGCCACCCAACCACUGAGCCAUAUACUCAGCCCUAUUUUUUUUUUUUUUUUAAUUUAGAGACAGAGUCUCACUGAGUUGCUUAGCAUAAAAAGCCUUGCUUUUUGCUGAGGCUGGUUUUGAACUCGAAAUCCUCCUGCCUCAGCCUCCCCAACCCCCGGUGUUACAGGCAUGCACCACUGCACCCAGCUCCUCCCUAUUUUUAAUAAGAUCUAAUAUUUCCUAUUAUUUUCCUAUAUUUAUUUAGUUUUUGUGGCCCUGGGGAUUGAAUUCAGGGCCUUGUGUAUGUUAGGCCAGUGCUCUACUACUGAGAGCUCUGCCAUUGAGCUACCUCUCCAGCUGCCUUCUAUUUUUAUUUUAUUUUUUAAAAUGCUUAUUCCUACUCACUCAAUUGAGUGCUUAAUGAAGUGACCCACAGAUGUCUCUGACCUGAUACCUGCAAGCUGUUAGUGUAGGACAAUGAAAACAUACUUCACUAAUUUCACAAUUUUUUCCAAGGUGGAUCCUGUUAGUCUCUCAAAUAAUUCCACAGUAUCUAAUAUAUUCAGGGGUUUUCUUAUUGAAAUUCCUUAGGUGGAUGAAGAUUUUACUUAAAAAAUCAUAACUAUAAGGUGGUUUAAAAUUUAUGACUUAAUGGGCCUUAUGAAAGAAGAGCAUUAACUUGCCAGGCACAUUAUUAAAACUUGAGUGGCAUUUAUAAUCAUUUGUAAGAACCUAUCACAUUGUACAUAAUUUUGAUUAUAAACAAAACAGGAUAAAAUUUAUACUUGACUUAAGUAAUAAAACUAUCUUUCCCUUGAGUUGUAAAUGAUUCAAAUAAGCAAUGAAUAAAUUACUUUUAACUUUCUCAUUUUUCAUCUACUGUCAUCUUUUAAAGAAAUUUUGCUUUCAAAUGUCAAUAUUAAAUUUGGAAACAGUACAUUUUUUCUAAGAACACAACAUAUAUAUCUAGAAAGAAAUCUACGUUUUGUUACCAAACUUCACAUCAGUUUAUUUUAUAUUAUUAGUAGUAAUUAAUAGUAUUAAGGACUUUACACAAAUUAACUCAUUUAACAAAAGGUAGACCAUUUCAACAUCUAAUUAAUUAUCACAGAUAUAAUUUUUUUUAAAAAGCAACCAUUUUGCUUGCACUUUUUCAUGGCACUUCUUUUUAUUAGCAAAUUUCUUUUCAAAUCUAAAUUAUAAAGAAAACAGAUACCUACUUAAUCAGCAAGUGCAUUUGUGUGUAUGUGUGUAUAUAUUUUCGUUUGUAAGGCAGAUGGACAGCGCAGAACUACAGCCAAUUCUGGGGAAUGACUUUAGAAGAAGGUUUCAAAUUUCGCCUUGGUACCUUGCCACCCAGCCCCAUGCUUCUGAGCAUGAAUGAGAUGACAGUAAGUGCUUUUCUUGAUUC